AUAAGGUGGAAGACUUGGUUUGAGGCGCUGAUGAAGGACGCGACUAACUGCGAAAUGCCUCGGCGAGCUGUAUGCAAGCUUAGAACCGAGGAUCUCCUAAUCAGACUUCUGUUCAAGACCGAAAGGUCGGGGAACGCAGGGAACUGAAACAUCUCAGUACCUGCAGGAAAAGAAAUCAAUUGAGAUGUGGUUAGUAAGAGCGACUGAAAACCACACACGGCAAACCGAAUCUGGCAUUGAAAAAUGUCAGAGAUGUGGUGUUUUGGACCUCCUUUUAGUCCUCGCUUGGAAAUGCGAAGUCUGCUGGAAAGCAGCACGAUAAAGGGUGAAAGUCCCGUAGCAGUAACCGAGCAAGAUGUGGAGGUAUCCAGAGUAGUGUUCCUUGGAUAUGGAGCAUGAAAAUGGGAGGCACUAACUUCCAACCGUAAAUACGUCUCAAGACCGAUAGCGUACGAGUACUGUGAAGGACAGGUGAAAAGAACCCAUGACAGGGAGUCAAAAGAUCCUGAAACCUUAUAGGUAUAGAAUGACACGGCUUCAAGGAGUUGUGUCGUACGUUUAGAAUAACGUACCAGGGAGUGUAUUUGAGUAGCGAGGUUAACUUAAAAAAAAGGUAGCCAAAGCGAAAGCAACAAGCUCGCAAGCAAUGAGGAGCGCGGUAUGAAAAUGCCGGAAGUUACUCGAAUACGACCCGAAACCAGUCGAUCUAACCCAGGGCAAGGUGAAGUGCGGGUAAAACCGUGUGGAGGCCUGCAGAGUUGCUGUGUGCAAGCGUUCUUCUGACUUUGGGUUAGGGGUGAAAAGCCAAUCGAGACUGGUUAUAGCUGGUUCCUACCAAAAUUGGCCGCAGUCAAGCCUCGAGCGAGAUAGCCAGAAUUGUAGAGCUACGGAUUGGGGAUUUAGGCAUCGCAAGAUGUCGGUUCCUUGUCCAACUCCGAAUGUUCUGGCGUUGUAGACCUCGGGAGACGGGGUGCGCGCGUAAGGUGCGUAUCCGUGAGGGGAACAACCCAGACUAUGGUUAAGGUCCCUAAGAAAUGAUUAAGUGUGAACGGACAAAGGGCGUCUGUGCCCAGAGACAGCGGGGAGGUAGGCUCAGAAGCAGCCACCCUUUAAAAAGUGCGUAACAGCUUACCCGUCAAGGGUGCGGGCCCCAAAAAUGGACGGGGCUAAAUCAUUCACCGAAACCAUAGACGACCCAAAAAGGUCGUGGUAGGUAGGCGUUUUGCUUGGGUAGAAUAUGGUUUGAGAAAAUCAUAGGACCGAGCAAAAAUGAAGAUCCUGGUAGUAGUAGGAUCCUAGUUGCGUGAGAAUCGCAACCACCGAAAGGGCAAGGGUUCCUUGGCAAUGUCAAUCAGCCAAGGGUUAGUCGGU
rnacentral:rRNA from 1 species